AGAGUUUCGAUCCUGCUCAGGAUGAACGCUGGCGGCGCGCCUAACACAUGCAAGUCGAACGAUUAAAGCACCUUCGGGUGUGUAUAAAGUGGCGAACGGCUGAGUAACACGUGGGCAACCUGCCCCUUUCAUUGGGAUAGCCACGGGAAACCUGGAUAAUACCGAAUACUUCGAGACUUCCGCAUGGAAGACUCGAGAAAGCUCCGGCGGAGAGGGAUGGGCCCGCGGCCUGUUAGCUUGUUGGUGGGGUAACGGCCUACCAAGGCAAUGAUGGGUAGCUGGGUUGAGAGACCGACCAGCCAGAUUGGGACUGAGACACGGCCCAGACUCCUACGGGAGGCAGCAGUGGGGAAUCUUGCACAAUGGGCGAAAGCCUGAUGCAGCGACGCCGCGUGCGGGAUGAAGGCCUUCGGGUUGUAAACCGCUUUCAGCAGGGACGAGGCGAAGGUGACGGUACCUGCAGAAGAAGCCCCGGCUAACUACGUG
rnacentral:rRNA from 1 species